rnacentral:rRNA from 1 species
UACAGAGGUCUCGAGCGUUGUUCGGAUUCAUUGGGCGUAAAGGGCGCGUAGGCGGCGGGGUAAGUCUGGUGUGAAAUCUCGGAGCUCAACUCCGAAAUUGCACUGGAUACUGCUCUGCUAGAGGGCUGGAGAGGAGAUCGGAAUUCACGGUGUAGCAGUGAAAUGCGUAGAUAUCGUGAGGAAGACCGGUGGCGAAGGCGGAUCUCUGGACAGCUCCUGACGCUGAGGCGCGAAGGCUAGGGGAGCAAACGGG